rnacentral:rRNA from 1 species
CUACGUGCCAGCAGCCGCGGUAAUACGUAGGUCCCGAGCGUUGUCCGGAUUUAUUGGGCGUAAAGCGAGCGCAGGCGGUUAGAUAAGUCUGAAGUUAAAGGCUGUGGCUUAACCAUAGUACGCUUUGGAAACUGUUUAACUUGAGUGCAAGAGGGGAGAGUGGAAUUCCAUGUGUAGCGGUGAAAUGCGUAGAGAUCUGGAGGAAUACCGGUGGCGAAGGCGGCCCCCUGGACAAAGACUGACGCUCAGGUGCGAAAGCGUGGGGAGCAAACAGGAUUAGAUACCCUGGUAGUCCACGCCGUAAACGAUGUCGACUUGGAGGUUGUGCCCUUGAGGCGUGGCUUCCGGAGCUAACGCGUUAAGUCGACCGCCUGGGGAGUACGGCCGCAAGGUUAAAACUCAAAUGAAUUGACGGGGGCCCGCACAAGCGGUGGAGCAUGUGGUUUAAUUCGAUGCAACGCGAAGAACCUUACCAAGUCUUGACAUACUG